AUUGAACGCUGGCGGCAGGCCCAACCCAUGCACGUCGAACGGUAACAGGAAGCAGCUUGCUGCUUUGCUGAUGAGUGGCGGACGGGUCAGUAAUGACUGGGAAACCGUCCGAUGGAGGGGGAUAACUACUGGAAACGGUAGCUAAUACCGCCUAACGUCGCAAGAACAAAGCGGGGGACCUUAGGGCCUCUCGCCAUCGGAUGUGCCCAGAUGGGUUAAGCUAGUAGGUGGGGUAACGGCUCCCCUCGGCUGCGUUCCCUACCUGGUCCGAGAGGAUGACCAGCCUCACUAGAACUGAGGCACGGUCCAAACGCCUACGGGAGGCAGCAGUGGGGAAUAUUGCACGAUGGGCGCAAUCCUGAUGCAGCCAUGCCGCGUGUAGGGAGGAGGCCUUCGGGGUGUAAAGUACGUUCAGCGGGGAGGAGGGGAGUAAAUUUAAUACCUUUGCUCAUUGACGUGACCCGCAGGAGGAGCACCGGCUAACUCCGUG
rnacentral:rRNA from 1 species